rnacentral:rRNA from 1 species
UACGUAGGGUGCAAGCGUUGUCCGGAAUUAUUGGGCGUAAAGAGCUCGUAGGCGGUUUGUCGCGUCUGCUGUGAAAACUCGGGGCUUAACCCCGGGCCUGCAGUGGGUACGGGCAGACUAGAGUGCGGUAGGGGAGACUGGAAUUCCUGGUGUAGCGGUGAAAUGCGUAGAUAUCUGGAGGAAUACCGGUGGCGAAGGCGGCAUCCUGGACCAUUACUGACGCUGAGGCGCGAAAGCUAGGGGAGCAAACGGGG